GCGGGCUGCAGGCGGGCCGUGCCGCUCCGGAGCCGAUGGCAGCUGCACAGCGCGGCCGCCCGGCGGAGCGCGGCGCGGCUCGGCGCCCCCGGCGCGGGAUGCGCGGGCGGGCGGGCGGCGGCGGCGGCGGCAGCGGCAGCUCCCGGAGCCGGAGGGACGGGGCCGGGCGGCCGGCGGCCGCCGCGCUCGUCUGACCUGCGUGCCCCGCUGGCCGCGCCGGGCUGCCCCGAAGGAUGUCCGCCCAGUCCAAGGGAACCGCAUCCUCCUCCUCCUCGCCGUCCGAGGGACCGCCGGCGGCCUCCAAAGCCAAGGUGAAGGAGCAGAUCAAGAUCAUCGUGGAGGAUUUGGAAUUAGUCCUGGGGGACCUCAAAGAUGUUGCCAAGGAACUUAAGGAGGUGGUUGACCAGAUUGACACUCUGACGUGUGAUCUGCAGCUGGAGGAUGAGAUGACGGACAGCUCCAAGACAGACACGCUGAACAGCAGCUCCAGCAGCACAACGGCCUCCAGCCUGGAGAAGGUCAAGGUGCGGGGCAGCGCGCCCCUCAGCAAGGCGCCCGCGCACCCCUCCGCCAUCCUCACCGUGCUGCGGAAGCCCAACCCGCCGCCUCCUCCCCCGCGGCUGACGCCCGUCAAGUGUGACGAGCCUGCCAGGCCGCCUCCUUCGGCCAACCCGGUCAAGACUAAUGGCACCCUGCUGCGGAACGGGGGCUUGCCCGUCGGGCCCGGCCGCAUCCCGAACGGAGACGUGUGCUGUGUGCCGAGCAGUACCUUGGAGAAGGUGGUGAUGCAGCCUCUGGUGCACAGACCCGAGAAAGAGCGCUGCCCGCAGCCGGGAGCGAGGGAGCGCGUUCGGUUCAGCGAGAAGGUGCAGUACCACGGCUACUGCCCCGACUGCGACGUGCGGUACAACAUUAAAAACAGGGAGGUGCACCUGCACAGCGAGCCCGCCCGGGCUGCAGGAAAGCUGCCACACCAGUGCCCUCCUCUGCCACCUCCUCCACCUCCGUUGCCUCCAUUUCUUCUGGAAAAUGGAGGGUUGGGGAUAAGUCCCAGUAAUAGCUUUCCUCCUCCAAGACCUGCAACUGUGCCUCCACAAACUGCGCCAAAACCCCAGAAGACCAUCUUGAGGAAAUCAACCACUACAACAGUGUGAAGUAUGCCCCUUGUAAUAACUCUUUGUUUUUUCCUAUAUAUAAACAUAAAUAGGUAAUGAGCACUUUCUACUUGAGCAAUAAAAAGACCCAAUGUAUUACACCCUGUGUCCAGUGAAGUGGCAUAAAAAAACACAUGCACCUUCAGGCUUGAAAGAAUAUCUAUAUUUGGAGGCACGUCAAUUAAUUUGCAUAUCAGAUUCAUCAUUGUGACUUCUUGCAGGCCAGAUCUGAGAAGUAACCAGGAAACCUGACCCUUAGUGGAGAAUGGAAAAACCAUUGAAGUCAGAGCACAACUGAUCACUAGUGUAAUCUGCCUGAAUCAUCUUUCUCAGAUCUGACAGCUACAAGCUGAGUCCUGGCAAAAGCCACAGCCUUAAAUUCCAUUUUAGUGGGAAAGAAGGAUAAGAGAACUCAAUGGCUUGCCCCAUUGCAGAAACUGCUGUCUCCAAGCCUGACACCUGAGUUGUGUGCUGAGCCACCAGAGUACCAAACAAGGAGUUUUUUAUGGGUAGAGCCAGCAUCAACAAAUAUUUCAAUAUGUAGCCAAAAGGAGAAAUGAAGCUCUUACAUAAUUUCAGAAAAUGGAUACAUUUAUUGUAACAGAGGAAUGUUACUGUUACUGUGGGGAAGAAAACCUCUGUCAUCCCUUGUACAUAUUCAAAGCCAUACAGGAACAGGGCAUAAGUGAAGUUCAGUCACUUAAAAGGAUGCUGUCUCUUGCCCUUCACCCAACUUCGAGGAAGUUCCACUCUUUGAGAUUGCAUCUUGAUGCAGUUCUAUUAUUUGCACUGUCACUUCCAUUCAGGGUAAUGAUGUGUGCCACCAUUUGCACAGAUGGCCCCAGGAGAUUUUUGACCACAACAAGCUAUAUUUUGCCAGGGCUCCAAAAGGAAUUAAAAAGUUAGAACAGAAGAAAGACAUUUAUGCUCUCUUUCGUUAUGGGGAUCUCUUCACAGAAAGGACUAUGGUUCUUUCUUGGGAUGAAAUAAAUACAUGCAUAUACAUACAUAUAUACAUAUGUAUAUAUAUGAAAAGCAGCAACGUGAUAAGGUGUGUAUUUAAAAAGGGGAUAUAAUCUUUUUUUAAUAGCAUCUGUUUUUUUAAUCAUAUUAGCAGCUGUUGAUAGUCUAUUGAAUUAUACAUAAAAAAAUGUUCCUACUGAACAUUGACAUUUAGUCCCAGUUACUGCUACAGAAGUCAUUUGUAAUAUGUACUUGACAUAAAAUUUUUCUAGCCAUUUGUCUAUACUUCAUGGAGAAAUCUAACAGACAAGCAACAUUUUCAGUUUAUUUUUCUAAAUAAAUAUGUCGUUUGUAUUAUUUGCAGUCACUCA